UACGAAGGGGGCUAGCGUUGCUCGGAAUCACUGGGCGUAAAGCGCACGUAGGCGGCUUACUAAGUCAGGGGUGAAAUCCUGGAGCUCAACUCCAGAACUGCCUUUGAUACUGGUGAGCUUGAGUCCGGAAGAGGUGAGUGGAACUGCGAGUGUAGAGUUGAAAUUCGUAGAUAUUCGCAAGAACACCAGUGGCGAAGGCGGCUCACUGGUCCGGUACUGACGCUGAGGUGCGAAAGCGUGGGGAGCAAACAGG
rnacentral:rRNA from 1 species